rnacentral:tRNA from 127 species
GUCCCGUUCGUCUAGAGGCCUAGGACACCGCCCUUUCACGGCGGCAACACGGGUUCGAAUCCCGUACGGGACGCCA